UGAAUAACCACUAACCAACAAUAUGCC
rnacentral:sRNA from 1 species